GACCAUACGGUAUUGGGUUUUCUCAUUGUUGAAGACCGUACUGUUGCCUCUAACUGCUUUCAUCCACUUCAUUUGAGCUUUGGUGGAUAGUUGUCUAAUUGGCAAUCAUACCAUACCUCCUUAUUUUCAUAACAAUACUUGGUAGUUGAUAGAUUGGUAUAAAAACGCAGUUCAAACAUAAUAUUCUUUCAUUGGUCGAUAGAAACAUG
rnacentral:lncRNA from 1 species